ensembl:snRNA U6 U6 spliceosomal RNA
GUGCUUGCUUCAGCAGCGCAUAUACUAAAAUCGGAAGGAUACAGAGAAGAUUAAGCCUGUCCUCUGCUUGAAGAUGACACUCAAAUCCCUGAAGUGUUCCAUCUUUUU